UACGUAGGGGGCAAGCGUUAUCCGGAUUUACUGGGUGUAAAGGGGGCGCAGACGGCGAUGCAAGCCAGGAGUGAAAGCCCGGGGCCCAACCCCGGGACUGCUCUUGGAACUGCGUGGCUGGAGUGCAGGAGGGGCAGGCGGAAUUCCUGGUGUAGCGGUGAAAUGCGUAGAUAUCAGGAGGAACACCGGUGGCGAAGGCGGCCUGCUGGACUGCAACUGACGUUGAGGCUCGAAAGCGUGGGGAGCAAACAGG
rnacentral:rRNA from 1 species